CCCUUAGACGUUCUGGGCCGCACGCGCGCUACACUGGUCGAUGCAACGAGUUUCUUUCCUUGGCCGACAGGCCUGGGCAAUCUUUGAACAUCGAUCGUGAUCGGGAUAGAUUCUUGUAAUUUUUGAUCUUAAACGAGGAAUUCCUAGUAAACGCAAGUCAUCAGCUUGCAUUGAUUACGUCCCUGCCCUUUGUACACACCGCCCGUCGCACCUACCGAUUGAAUGGUCCGGUGAAAUCUCCGGACUGGCGUGAGUCGGAGCAAUCUGACAAACGCCGGAAAGUUGAUUAAACCUUACCAUUUAGAGGAAGGUGAAGUCGUAACA
rnacentral:rRNA from 1 species